rnacentral:tmRNA from 1 species
GGGGGUGACAUGGCUUCGACGUGGGUCACGAACCUCUAAGUGCAUGCCGAGGCACAGACUACCUCGUAAAUCCAGCUGUAAAACCUAUAGUUGCCAACGACGACAACUACGCACUAGCUGCUUAAAAACCAGCUUAGUGCCCUCUGGCCGGCACGUGCCCGUGCGUCCGGAUCCCAGGGGUCGACUUCACGGGACCGCGCAAGAGGCUUGUUCGGGGUCUCGACCGUUAAAUCUUCACCGAACUGGUUGUAGGUUGUCCCUGCCCGUCGGGUAGCCCGCAACGAGAUUAAAGACGGUAUAAGCAUGUAGACCUUGGAGCGGAGGGCUUGCGGACGCGAGUUCGAUUCUCGCCACCUCCACCA